rnacentral:lncRNA from 1 species
GCCAAUAUAAGUCCCCACCCAGGCUCCUCUGCUCGUAACUUCCAGCACGACUCCCACUGUAUUCGCCCAUGUUUCCCAAAAGUGAGUAUUUGAUCCCUACCCCACCCCAUUUUUAGAAAGCUCAGGAAAACGCUCUCGUAUUUCUAUCUGAAAAGGACACUUUAGAGAAAUACGUUCCAUUACAGUCUUUGUGUUCGCAUUGUAUUCCUUCUCGAUGAAACAGGUGUAAGUCCAUUGGUAUUUUACGCACGACAAGACAACUUUGAAGCCCGACUCAUGACCUUUAGAUUAAGAAACACUCUCCGGGAGCUCUGCUGAUCGCUGGGUCUUACGAGGUUGAUGCCUUCUGUCCCAAACAGAACUAUUUCCCUGCGUGUUUCCGCCUGGCUGCCCACUUCUCCGGUAGAGAAACAGCUGUUCCUCGGGAUUCAUUUUUGGAAGUUCUUUGGGUCCUGGGUAAUGGGGCCGCAUCCUGCAGCGUCGACAAGGUGGUUGAAUACGCAGGAACACCCACAGCACCCAGGGACUAAUAAAUAGCUCAAUAGAUACAUUUCGAAUAACUGAAUAAAGGAAAUCUCAACCAACCCCCUUGCCGUAUUACAGAUGGUCCAGCUCUCUGCCUAGACUACUGUGCUAAUGUCCUGUUCCUUCUCCCGGCUUUUGAACUAGAUUCUCACCUCUCUCCAAUCCAUCUUUCGCAGGGCUGGCCUGUCUUUCCGCCUCACUUCUGAGAUUCUAUCCAUUGCAGCCUCUAUGCAAACCGACUCUGGUUAAGAUUUCAGUCGGUAUGGCUCCCCUCUUCCGCACUUUGCACUGCGAGAAAUGCCCUUCCUUGAGGCAGCUGGAGGCCUCCUCCCCCUGAGAGCUUAAUUGUGGACACAGCCUUGAGUAGAGGCGAAAAGGAAAGAAGGCUGGGAGAUAAUGGGGGAAAGCACACCUUUGGUCUGGUUUGAAAGCUGGCGCCCGAAAAGGGGAGCGAAAGGACAAGAAAAAAAAAACACGCUCCGAAAGUGUCUGAGAUUGCUGCGGCCAUAAAGCAGAGCACUAACCGCGGUACUGAUAAGGGAGGGGAGCAGGGCUCCGCCGCCGGGCCUGUGCCCAUGGACCUAGGUGAGGACGGGCACUCCUUCCUCCGCGGCCAAACGUUGCAUUUCCCAAGACCACCCUGACCCGCCACGCCCCCAUCCUGUGCCUAUAAAAACUCCCGAGACCCUAGCGGGCACAGACACAAGCGGCUGGACAUGAAGAGGAACACACCGGCGGGAGAACACAGAACACGCACCCUUUCUUUUAGUCACCCUGGAGGCCUCGGAGAAGGCGGUUUCAGUGAUCCGUGAAGAGACCCCGAGUCUUUUACAUCCCGGAGAAUGACAAGAGAGCGAGUACCUGGGCGACGUUUACGUUCUGGGAUUUCGGGAGAUGCGGUUUUCUGCACGCCAGGGGCCAAGCCUGAGACGUAGAUGGACGGCAGGGAUAGGAGCUCUCUCCGCGCCACAAACGCCCCUGCUCAUACCUGGGUUCCUUGAUUUUCCUGCCUAUAUAACCCAGCCUCCCAUGGCCGGGCUCUGAGCUCUCAUUCUGCGGACUGGGACAAAGGGGUUAACUGUGAUGCGCUUUGUAUAACCCCAGGAUUCUGCACUUGCCCAAGGGCGAGGUGCAAAUCAAAAACUACGCACAACUGAACACCGAGAUCAGGAUCCCGACUCAGAUUGAAAAAGCAGAGGAUGGUCACUGCCUUCCAGGUCUGAGGCUGUCUCCCAGAAACUUCAUUCCUCGCUUCGCCUUGGUUCUCCAUCACUUUCUGAGUCCUACAGGAGGAAAGUGCUAUUGAAGAUGAGGCGCGUAUGGCGUGAAGUUCUGGGGCUGGGAGAAGCUGCCCCGCUACUUCCGGGUGGCCUUGCCUGCAGGGAGCAGUUUGUAUUCCCCGUUGUUUCUCCUGUUGACGACAUCUGUGCCUCUUAUCUGGGAGAAGAUCAGAGGAAACUGCCGCCUCCCCCAAGCACGUGUUUUACUGCUCCCCAUUUCACAACCUAGUGCUGUCCACUUGCAUGGGAUGUUUCUUUUCCAUCACAAUGCUCUGAGAUAACGAAGUCGAGGGAAGUUUGUGCAGCCCUCCAGACCCUCCAGAUUUCAAAGGAAAGCCCACCGCUGCUGGUCUGGGGGAGCUGAUGGCCUAUUCAUGGAUGAGAUGGACUAAGGACAGUGGGAAGCACAAUGGACCAACAGUAUUGUUGGAGGGGACUGCGUGAGGAAGCAGGAGCCUAAACAACACUCUCCAGAUACUGCGUGAACACUGUC